ensembl:lncRNA
GAGUUAAUUCUGAUAAAAGAUCUCGGAAGAAGAAAAAGGAACAUGGAAAAGUUCCCACACUUUGAUUGUUUUGUUUCUUUCUCUUUCUCUGUCCUUUCUUUUUUCAUUCCUGCCAAAAAAAUAAAGCAGUGUGCCAGCCAUGAAUGGGAAUAAUUGAUGGGGAAGGGAAAAUAAUAGACUUCAGAAAAACCAACAUUGACUCGUGUAACUCACCUGUUGGUGAGAGUUUUUGUUUGGUGUUUCAUUCAGACAGCGGGCGGCUCGGGGGCCCCUCCCUGAGGCAGCGCUGGUUCCCAGGUACAGCGAGGAGCGAUGGGAGGAGAGUUCCCACCACACUCUCUAACCGUUCUCACCGUAGCUCAUUGGUCGGAUGUUGCGUCACCGCUGAAAUUCGAGACUCUCGCAGCGGUGCAGGGCAGGUGUAUGAGGCUGCAGCGCCAAAGGAGCUGAGGGAGUGAGCGCCGAUGGUCAAGAAUGGGCGAGGCCUUCUUGUUGGCGACACAAAGCCGUUGCUGUGCAAUCAGCUUGGU